rnacentral:rRNA from 1 species
UACAGAGGUCUCAAGCGUUGUUCGGAUUCAUUGGGCGUAAAGGGCGCGUAGGCGGCGAGGUAAGUCUGGUGUGAAAUCUAGGAGCUCAACUCCUAAACUGCACUGGAUACUGCUUUGCUUGAGGACUGGAGAGGAGAUUGGAAUUCACGGUGUAGCAGUGAAAUGCGUAGAGAUCGUAAGGAAGGCCAGUGGCGAAGGCGAGUUCCUGGACAGUUACUGACGCUGAGGCACGAAGGCCAGGGGAGCAAACGGG